rnacentral:tRNA from 3 species
GCGACACUAGCUCAGUUGGUAGAGCGCAACCUUGCCAAGGUUGAGGUCACGAGUU